CCUACGGGUGGCAGCAGUGAGGAAUAUUGGUCAAUGGCCGAGAGGCUGAACCAGCCAAGUCGCGUGAGGGAAGACGGCCCUACGGGUUGUAAACCUCUUUUGUCGGGGAGCAAAGCGAGUCACGUGUGACGCAUUGAGAGUACCCGAAGAAAAAGCAUCGGCUAACGCCGUGCCAGCAGCCGAGGUAAGACGGAGGAUGCGAGCGUUAUCCGGAUUUAUUGGGUGUAAAGGGUGCGAAGGCGGAGGUGCAAGUCAGCGGUCAAAUUGCGGGGCUCAACCCCGUACUGCCGUUGAAACUGCAGCCCUUGAGUGCGCGAGAAGUAUGCGGAAUGCGUGGUGUAGCGGUGAAAUGCAUAGAUAUCACGCAGAACUCCGAUUGCGAAGGCAGCAGACCGGCGCGCAACUGACGCUCAUGCACGAAAGCGUGGGUAUCGAACAGGAUUAGAUACCCCGGUAGUC
rnacentral:rRNA from 1 species